rnacentral:rRNA from 1 species
ACUCCUACGGGAGGCAGCAGUGAGGAAUAUUGGACAAUGGGUGGAAGCCUGAUCCAGCCAUCCCGCGUGCAGGAAGACGGCCCUAUGGGUUGUAAACUGCUUUUAUCUGGGGAUAAACCUACUUACGUGUAAGUAGCUGAAGGUACCAGAAGAAUCAGCACCGGCUAACUCCGUGCCAGCAGCCGCGGUAAUACGGAGGGUGCAAGCUUUAUCCGGAUUUAUUGGGUUUAAAGGGUCCGUAGGCGGACUGAUAAGUCAGUGGUGAAAUCCGACAGCUUAACUGUCGAACUGCCAUUGAUACUGUUAGUCUUGAGUAAGGUUGAAGUGGCUGGAAUAAGUAGUGUAGCGGUGAAAUGCAUAGAUAUUACUUAGAACACCAAUUGCGAAGGCAGGUCACUAAGUCUUAACUGACGCUGAUGGACGAAAGCGUGGGGAGCGAACAGGAUUAGAUACCCUUGUAGUCCCAUGA